CUGAUAUAACUGAGUUCUGGGUUUAGCCAUUCUUUUCUACACUCAUGCUGCACGGAAUUUGUGUUUGAUUGGUGAUCGGACAUUUUGAGUUAUAAAUUUUUGUAAAACUUCUUUAAUUAUACAGACACUUGGCUUUCUGAGGUCCCAAAAUAUUCCUUUGAAACUAUGUUCCAGACCUGUGUGUGUCCCGGAACUGUGUGCGUCCCGAACCUGUGUGUGUGCCGGAACUGUGUUCGUCCUGGACCUGUGUAUCUGGGAACAGUGUGUAUGUUCCGGAGCUGUGUGUAUCCCGGAACUGUGUGUCCAGGAACUUUGUGCCUGUAUCAAGACCAGACAUCAGGCAUCAAUACUGUAUAAUUUUAAUGUAACGAAUACAAAAGUGAAUCAUAAAACCAAUUUUGUCUUUUGUUUUGUCUGUGGCCUCGGAUCGUCUUGUUACACUGAAUAAAACAAAAUACUAGUAGAUGGUGAAUGGUGGCAUUUACAA